rnacentral:rRNA from 1 species
UACGUAGGUGGCAAGCGUUGUCCGGAAUUAUUGGGCGUAAAGCGCGCGCAGGCGGCUUCUUAAGUCUGAUGUGAAAUCUCGGGGCUCAACCCCGAGCGGCCAUUGGAAACUGGAAGCUUGAGUACAGAAGAGGAGAGUGGAAUUCCACGUGUAGCGGUGAAAUGCGUAGAUAUGUGGAGGGACACCAGUGGCGAAGGCGACU